GGGUCUCCAUGGAGGGAGGGGAGGGGAGGUAGCAAUUGGUCCCAACGUGGUAGUGGGUUUCAUUGGAUGGCGCGGGAAGCCUUCAGGAACUGGUCGACUAGCUGCCCUGGGCUCGGUGCACACUACAGGCCCAUGUUUACGUGUGCUGGGUUUCGCUUCGACAGAUUCUGGCAUUAUGCUGAUAUGGAUAUUUAGAAUCAAAAUCAAAGAUUUAUGUUAGAAUAAGGAUCCAUAUCUAAUAAAGCUAGGUGUACCUAUCCAUAGUUUUUCCAUACACAUCCGUUCUUUCCAUUAAGAUUAAAAAAACAAAGUACUUUAGAAAUGCC
rnacentral:lncRNA from 1 species